CAGUCGCCACGGUAAUACGUAGGUGGCAAGCGUUGUCCGGAAUUAUUGGGCGUAAAGGGCUCGCAGGCGGUUUCUUAAGUCUGAUGUGAAAGCCCCCGGCUCAACCGGGGAGGGUCAUUGGAAACUGGGAAACUUGAGUGCAGAAGAGGAGAGUGGAAUUCCACGUGUAGCGGUGAAAUGCGUAGAGAUGUGGAGGAACACCAGUGGCGAAGGCGACUCUCUGGUCUGUAACUGACGCUGAGGAGCGAAAGCGUGGGGAGCGAACAGGAUUAGAGACCCCCGUAGUCCCUGUCUCUUAUAC
rnacentral:rRNA from 1 species